rnacentral:rRNA from 1 species
GAUGAACGCUGGCGGCGUGCCUAAUACAUGCAAGUCGAGCGAAUGGAUUAAGAGCUUGCUCUUAUGAAGUUAGCGGCGGACGGGUGAGUAACACGUGGGUAACCUGCCCACAAGACUGGGAUAACUCCGGGAAACCGGGGCUAAUACCGGAUAACAUUUUGAACCGCAUGGUUCGAAAUUGAAAGGCGGCUUCGGCUGUCACUUAUGGAUGGACCCGCGUCGCAUUAGCUAGUUGGUGAGGUAACGGCUCACCAAGGCAACGAUGCGUAGCCGACCUGCGAGGUUGAUAGGCCCCACUGGGACGGACACACGGCACAGACUCCUACGGGAGGCAGCAGUAGGGAAUCUUCCGCAAUGGACGAAAGUCUGACGGAGCAACGCCGCGUGAGUGAUGAAGGCUUUCGGGUCGUAAAACUCUGUUGUUAGGGAAGAACAAGUGCUAGUUGAAUAAGCUGGCACCUUGACGGUACCUAACCAGAAAGCCACGGCUACCUACGUGCCAGCCGCCGCAGUAA